ACUGAGAUGGUUAAAACAGCAUGAGAUUUGGAAUCUCAUGGCCUUGGGGUCAAAUCCCAACAUCAAUC
rnacentral:tRNA from 1 species